UACGUAGGGGGCAAGCGUUGUCCGGAAUCAUUGGGCGUAAAGCGCGCGUAGGCGGCCCGGUAAGUCCGCUGUAAAAGUCAAAGGCUCAACCUUUGAAUGCCGGUGGAUACUGUCGGGCUAGAGUCCGGAAGAGGCGAGUGGAAUUCCUGGUGUAGCGGUGGAAUGCGUAGAUAUUGGGAGGAACACCAGUGGCGAAGGCGGCUCACUGGACUGGUACUGACGCUGAUGCGCGAAAGCGUGGGGAGCAAACAGG
rnacentral:rRNA from 1 species